rnacentral:rRNA from 1 species
GAUGAACGCUAGCUACUGGCUUAACACAUGCAAGUCGAGGGGUAACGAGAGGAAAGCUUGCUUUCCUUGUUGACGACCGGCGCACGGGUGAGUGACGCGUAUCCAACCUGCCCCCAACUAGGGAAUAACCUUGCGAAAGUAAGACUAAUACCCUAUAAUUUCCUCAGAUGUCAUCUGACGAGGAAUAAAGAUUUAUCGGUUGUGGAUGGGGAUGCGUCUGAUUAGCUUGUUGGCGGGGUAACGGCCCACCAAGGCAACGAUCAGUAGGGGUUCUGAGAGGAAGGUCCCCCACAUUGGAACUGAGACACGGUCCAAACUCCUACGGGAGGCAGCAGUGAGGAAUAUUGGUCAAUGGGCGGAAGCCUGAACCAGCCAAGUAGCGUGCAGGAUGACGGCUCUAUGGGUUGUAAACUGCUUUUAUACAGGAAUAAAGUUAGCCACGUGUGGUUAUUUGUAGGUACUGUAUGAAUAAGGACCGGCUAAUUCCGUGCCAGCAGCCGCAGUAA